GUACACCGACCCUUAUCCCCGUCUGUCGCUCCGCACGUUAAAUAGACAAAUGCGCCCUCUGCUCGACCUUGGAUCUGAGCCCACUGAAGACUAAUAGUUGCAUCACUGCAGAACAAGACGGCUUAUGGGACCUCCAAAUAACCCACACAACUUCUAUUAAAGGUUUUUAUUGAAAUGGUGAGGAAAUUACUCAGGUCUGCCCUUUGCAUUUUUCUUUAAUAAUAUGUACUUCAUUUGUGUUCAGGUUUUUAUUUGUCUGACAGCUUUCACAUACAGAAUAUAAUUGUACCUUUACAUAACUCUUACUAUUGAAAUGAGCAACGAACAAAAGCUAAAAAUAUUUUUUGCAGUUAUAUGCUCUCACUCCACACUUUUUUUUUUAAGCUGUGAAAUGACAAAAAAAAAAAACAGUGGCAGAUAGAAUUCUGCACCUCAUACAGAACAGAAGUCAAUGUCUAACCUGCCUCCGUUGCUGUGGAAACGGGAAUGUCUGGCUGAGGGGGCUUCAUCCUGUGUCACAUCCCAGCAGGAUUAAUACAAGGCCUUUGUUUUAGCCCAGUGCCUGCCGAAGGGAGAGGCUACUGAACAAACUGUAAGAGACGAGAGAGCACGCGUCACUCACGCUGCGCAGAACGGGGGACGCUGUUUGUUUUGCAUUUAUAUUGCUUUUACAUUCUUUGGAAACUGAAAUUCAAUUCAUUGAAGGAUCAUCUGCAAAAGUGCUGUCACUUUUUUUCCUUUUUUUUCCUGGAUGCUCAUACCAGUGACUGUAGCAUUAAUAUCAACGCACAUAGAUAUUGUUCAGAUUGAAUUUAUUCUAAUUUUGAUCUUCCAGUUAUUGCAUGUUGAUAUAUUUACCGGAUCUUGACAUACUCUUGCACCUGUGCAUUGUCCUCUUUGAAUUUUAUUAAACAUUUAUUUGGAAGUACACAUUA